AAUAUGAUUGUUUCGAGACUAUCU
rnacentral:siRNA from 1 species